rnacentral:rRNA from 1 species
AUUGAACGCUGGCGGCAGGCCUAACACAUGCAAGUCGAGCGGUAGCACAGAGAGCUUGCUCUCGGGUGACGGGCGGCGGACGGGUGAGUAAUGUCUGGGAAACUGCCUGAUGGAGGGGGAUAACUACUGGAAACGGUAGCUAAUACCGCAUAACGUCGCAAGACCAAAGUGGGGGACCUUCGGGCCUCAUGCCAUCAGAUGUGCCCAGAUGGGAUUAGCUAGUAGGUGGGGUAACGGCUCACCUAGGCGACGAUCCCUAGCUGGUCUGAGAGGAUGACCAGCCACACUGGAACUGAGACACGGUCCAGACUCCUACGGGAGGCAGCAGUGGGGAAUAUUGCACAAUGGGCGCAAGCCUGAUGCAGCCAUGCCGCGUGUGUGAAGAAGGCCUUCGGGUUGUAAAGCACUUUCAGCGGGGAGGAAGGCGGUGAGGUUAAUAACCUCAUCGAUUGACGUUACCCGCAGAAGAAGCACCGGCUAACUCCGUGCCAGCCGCCGCGGUAAAAC